GGUGUGUAGGUGGCGCGCUAAGUCGGGUGUGAAAUUUCGGAGCUUAACUCCGAAACUGCAUCCGAUACUGGCGUGCUUGAGGACUGGAGAGGAGACUGGAAUUUACGGUGUAGCAGUGAAAUGCGUAGAUAUCGUAAGGAAGACCAGUGGCGAAGGCGGGUCUCUGGACAGUUCCUGACACUGAGACACGAAGGCCAGGGGAGCAAACG
rnacentral:rRNA from 1 species